GAGUUUGAUCUUGGCUCAGAUUGAACGCUGGCGGCAGGCCUAACACAUGCAAGUCGAGCGGAUGACGGGAGCUUGCUCCUUGAUUCAGCGGCGGACGGGUGAGUAAUGCCUAGGAAUCUGCCUGGUAGUGGGGGACAACGUUUCGAAAGGAACGCUAAUACCGCAUACGUCCUACGGGGAGAAAGCAGGGGACCUUCGGGCCUUGCGCUAUCAGAUGAGCCUAGGUCGGAUUAGCUAGGUUGGUGGGGUAAUGGCUCACCAAGGCGACGAUCCGUAACUGGUCUGAGAGGAUGAUCAGUCACACUGGGAACUGAGACACGGGUCCAGACUCCUACGGGAGGCUAGGCAAGUGGGGGAAUAUU
rnacentral:rRNA from 1 species